UAGGGAAUCUUCGGCAAUGGGGGGAACCCUGACCGAGCAACGCCGCGUGAGUGAAGAAGGUUUUCGGAUCGUAAAGCUCUGUUGUUAAGGAAGAACGAGUGUGAGAAUGGAAAGUUCAUACUGUGACGGUACUUAACCAGAAAGGGACGGCUAACUACGUGCCAGCAGCCGCGGUAAUACGAUGGUCCCGAGCGUUGUCCGGAUUUAUUGGGCGUAAAGCGAGCGCAGGCGGUUAGAUAAGUCUGAAGUUAAAGGCAGUGGCUCAACCAUUGUAUGCUUUGGAAACUGUUUAACUUGAGUGCAGAAGGGGAGAGUGGAAUUCCAUGUGUAGCGGUGAAAUGCGUAGAUAUAUGGAGGAACACCGGUGGCGAAAGCGGCUCUCUGGUCUGUAACUGACGCUGAGGCUCGAAAGCGUGGGGAGCGAACAGG
rnacentral:rRNA from 1 species